UACGAAGGGGGCUAGCGUUGCUCGGAAUCACUGGGCGUAAAGAGCUCGUAGGCGGUGUGUCGCGUCGGCCGUGAAAACUUGCAGCUUAACUGUGGGCGUGCGGUCGAUACGGGCAUCACUGGAGUUCGGCAGGGGAGACUGGAAUUCCGGGUGUAGCGGUGGAAUGCGUAGAGAUCCGGAAGAACACCGGUGGCGAAGGCGGCCUGCUGGGCAGUAGCUGACACUGAGGCGCGACAGCGUGGGGAGCAAACAGG
rnacentral:rRNA from 1 species